CGUGUGUGAAAAUUCAUCAAGCUAUGCACAUGAUCUGAUGCUUUGCUGAAUGUAUAUUAUACAUCUAUAAAAAAGUUAACAUGGAAAAAAAAGUGCCCAAGACAGUGCCUGGAGCAUAUGAGGGCUCCACAACUCUUCCUCUCCACCUCUGCCCCCCAGCUCCCUUGCCAGUCCUCCUCCCUCACCUAUCUCUCUUCCUGUUUUCUUUCAGAAGUGCAGUUUGGAGAGGAAAGAAGCCGUAUCUCAGUCCUUUCACCAAUAGCUGAUGUAAUCUCAAGAGAGUUGCAUUUCCCACAGUGGAGACUUCACACAUCACAGCUAAAUCCUCCAAGACGACUCGGCUGUGGAAUCCUAAUGAAGAAUGCAAUAGGUUGCUUAUGAGCAGGAGCUCAUGCAAUUCCUCUCCAGAGGUGGAAGGCCGAGAACCCUGCUUGGGCCGUGGUGGGUGGCGUGAGGAGCUCACAGCGGAGCCUUAGGAGGCCAUUCUGUGUGGAUUUGUAUCACCGCCCUUUUCAUCAAUGACUCCAAGAAGGAGCUGCAAGUACCACAGGCUUCCAGAUCUUCAGGUGUGGCCUGGGACAGUGUGCGUGCCUGUAUUCUCAGCUACUCGGGAGGCUGAGGAGGGAGGAUCACUUUGAGGCCAGGAGUUUGAGGCUGCAGUAAGCUAGUGUCACACCACUGCAUUCUAGCCUGGGUGACAGAGACCUCAUCUCUAAAACAAACAAACAAAUAAAACAGCUGUGGAGGACGCACCUGCUGGUAGCUCCCUGUUUACCAUAUUCUGCCCACUGGGGUCUCUUUCAGACCCUCAAGCAAUCUCUUUCCUGCCCUGAGGCCUUUGCACAGCUGCUCCCUCUGCCCGUGAGUCCCAACCUUCCUCCUGUCUGGGCAUUCUUCCCACCCUUCAGAGAUCAGCUGAAGCAUCUCCUGGCAGAGAAGCUGUUUUAAGGGGACCAAGGAUUUGUUUCCUCAGGUCUGGUGAGACUCAUGAGCAUGGGACUGACUGUCAUGAAGGAGGAAGUUUAUAUGCGCAGGUCCCUAGAAACAGGAGGCCCGGCACGCCACUCAGAGCCGCACGGGGAGGCGCCACGUGGGUCAGGAGGCAGAGGGGGAGUGAGGGAGCGGUGGGCAAGAGCCUUUGCUGUGAUUUCCGUGGGAAGGAAGGAGUGGGGCAGGGUAAGUGGGCUGAGGAUGGGCUAGUUUGGAUCAUCUAAAGGCUGUAGGGCACAGGGACUCUCCCUAGUUGUCUGGUACCUGGGGUGAUUAGGGCAGGAGAGAGUGGUCCAGAAUAUGACAGCACCAUACAGGAGGUGGUUGGGGUGUUGGCUCUGGAUGGGUUGGUUUGCAUUUGAAAGGCUUGUUCACUUGCAGGCGAAUUGUUUACUCUCUCUAGGAAUUGACUCACCCUGGGAGGGGUAGUCCCUCCAGGAUCAGCAAGACCCCAGAGCAAAUGCAUCAGAAGUAUCACAAAUAAAGGGCGUGCUUAGUCCAGAGACCUUCCCAUAAGCACUCCAUGUCUCUAUAAUGUUUAUCAUAUUUCCUCUCUCUCCUCUAGUUUUGUCAGUUUCCUACACUAGAACACAAGGUCUGGGGGAAGGGGCCACAUGUGUGUUUACUAAUGCAUUCUGUGUCUAACUGCUGUCUGGAACUUAGUAGAUGCCAUUUUUUCUUUUUUUUCUGUGAGAUGGAGUCUCACUCUGUGGCCCAGGCUGGAGCGCAGUGGCGCGAUCUCAGCUCACUGCAAGCUCCGUCUCCUGGGUUCACGCCAUUCUCCUGCCUCAGCCUCCUGAGUAGCUGGGGCUACAGGUGCCCGCCACCGCACCCGG
rnacentral:lncRNA from 10 species